CAAAAUAUGGUCAACCUUUUUUUUCCUCGCAAAUCGUGCCCUUAGAUCUAGAAAUUCGUUGAGAGACAAAUCUUCUUUCAUCUAUUCAAGGGAAAAUCUCCUUCCAUUUCAUCUUGUCCAAUGACCCAUGGCAAGACGCAAUAAAUCGAUCCCAUUCUGCAAGUAUGGAACUAGAACCAUUUUGAAGACCUCAUGGACAGAAAGAAAUCCAGUGCAAAGAUAUAUUGAAUAUGGUCAAGAUCAGGUAAGAUAAUUAUUACUUAAUGGAUAUUUGUGUUAUUACAAGAUGGAUAAAAUAUAAAUAUUUGUUGCUGCAGGUUAGAGGGUAUGGGUUUUGGGACUGGUAUGAUGAAGCAAUUUGUGAGAGGGCUAAGCAAGUAAUACCUGACCUCUUAAGAAGUAAGAACAAAUUAGAAGCUGAGAAUGAAACUCUGCAAAAGGAGGGUCGGGGAUGGCAAAGCAAAGGAAACGAAAUGACACUGGAGAUAAAAAGACAAUAGAAGCAAUUGGAAAGAAAGCAAAGGACAAGAAAGCUAGCAAAAAGUGUUUUUGUGAUUGGGGUGGUUGUUACAGUGUGGUUAAUAUGGAUGCAGGAGCCAACAAUGCCAAAUUCGAAGAGGUUGCAAAUUGCAAGUGUAUAAAAGGAAUGUUGCAAAUUACUAGUUUGUAGAAUGUAGAUAUUUUGGAUUGCUGGUAUGUAUAAUGUAAUGGUACUUAAUGAAGCUAGCAAUUAUGUUGAUUUUGGAUCUUUGAAAAUGUUAAUUAUGAGUUCUGCUGUUGAC
rnacentral:lncRNA from 1 species